rnacentral:rRNA from 1 species
ACAUGCAAGUCGAACGUGAAGCCACCUUCGGGUGGUGGAAAGUGGCAGACGGUGAGUAACGCGUGGGAACGUGCCUUUCGGUUCGGAAUAACCCAGGGAAACUUGGGCUAAUACCGGAUACGCCCUUCGGGGGAAAGAUUCAUCGCCGAAAGAUCGGCCCGCGUCGGAUUAGCUAGUUGGUAGGGUAAUGGCCUACCAAGGCGACGAUCCGUAGCUGGUCUGAGAGGAUGACCAGCCACACUGGGACUGAGACACGGCCCAGACUCCUACGGGAGGCAGCAGUGGGGAAUAUUGGACAAUGGGCGAAAGCCUGAUCCAGCCAUGCCGCGUGAGUGAUGAAGGCCCUAGGGUUGUAAAGCUCUUUUGUGCGGGAAGAUAAUGACGGUACCGCAAGAAUAAGC